rnacentral:rRNA from 1 species
AUUGAACGCUGGCGGCAGGCUUAACACAUGCAAGUCGAACGAUGAUUAUCUAGCUUGCUAGAUAUGAUUAGUGGCGGACGGGUGAGUAACAUUUAGGAAUCUGCCUAGUAGUGGGGGAUAGCUCGGGGAAACUCGAAUUAAUACCGCAUACGACCUACGGGUGAAAGGGGGCGCAAGCUCUUGCUAUUAGAUGAGCCUAAAUCAGAUUAGCUAGUUGGUGGGGUAAAGGCCCACCAAGGCGACGAUCUGUAACUGGUCUGAGAGGAUGAUCAGUCACACCGGAACUGAGACACGGUCCGGACUCCUACGGGAGGCAGCAGUGGGGAAUAUUGGACAAUGGGGGCAACCCUGAUCCAGCCAUGCCGCGUGUGUGAAGAAGGCCUUUUGGUUGUAAAGCACUUUAAGCAGGGAGGAGAGGCUAAUGGUUAAUACCCAUUAGAUUAGACGUUACCUGCAGAAUAAGCACCGGCUAACUCUGUGCCAGCAGCCGCGGUAAUACAGAGGGUGCGAGCGUUAAUCGGAAUUACUGGGCGUAAAGCGAGUGUAGGUGGCUCAUUAAGUCACAUGUGAAAUCCCCGGGCUUAACCUGGGAACUGCAUGUGAUACUGGUGGUGCUAGAAUAUGUGAGAGGGAAGUAGAAUUCCAGGUGUAGCGGUGAAAUGCGUAGAGAUCUGGAGGAAUACCGAUGGCGAAGGCAGCUUCCUGGCAUAAUAUUGACACUGAGAUUCGAAAGCGUGGGUAGCAAACAGGAUUAGAUACCCUGGUAGUCCACGCCGUAAACGAUGUCUACUAGCCGUUGGGGUCCUUGAGACUUUAGUGGCGCAGUUAACGCGAUAAGUAGACCGCCUGGGGAGUACGGCCGCAAGGUUAAAACUCAAAUGAAUUGACGGGGGCCCGCACAAGCGGUGGAGCAUGUGGUUUAAUUCGAUGCAACGCGAAGAACCUUACCUGGUCUUGACAUAGUGAGAAUCCUGCAGAGAUGCGGGAGUGCCUUCGGGAACUCACAUACAGGUGCUGCAUGGCUGUCGUCAGCUCGUGUCGUGAGAUGUUGGGUUAAGUCCCGCAACGAGCGCAACCCUUUUCCUUAUUUGCCAGCGGGUUAAGCCGGGAACUUUAAGGAUACUGCCAGUGACAAACUGGAGGAAGGCGGGGACGACGUCAAGUCAUCACGGCCCUUACGACCAGGGCUACACACGUGCUACAAUGGUAGGUACAGAGGGUUGCUACACAGCGAUGUGAUGCUAAUCUCAAAAAGCCUAUCGUAGUCCGGAUUGGAGUCUGCAACUCGACUCCAUGAAGUCGGAAUCGCUAGUAAUCGCAGAUCAGAAUGCUGCGGUGAAUACGUUCCCGGGCCU